GAUGAACGCUGGCGGCGUGCCUAACACAUGCAAGUCGAACGGAACUUUUACGGAUUGAGGCUUCGGCCGAUUGAGGUUUAAGUUUAGUGGCGGACGGGUGAGUAACGCGUGAGUAACCUGCCUUUCAGUGGGGGACAACAGUUGGAAACGACUGCUAAUACCGCAUAAUGUUAUUUGGGGGCAUCCUCGAAUAACCAAAGAUUUAUUGCUGAAAGAUGGCUUCGCGUCUGAUUAGCUAGAUGGCGGGGUAACGGCCCACCAUGGCGACGAUCAGUAGCCGGUCUGAGAGGAUGAACGGCCACAUUGGGACUGAGAUACGGCCCAGACUCCUACGGGAGGCAGCAGUGGGGAAUAUUGCGCAAUGGGGGCAACCCUGACGCAGCAACGCCGCGUGAAGGAUGAAGGUCUUCGGAUCGUAAAACUCCUGUCUUCAGGGACGAUAAUGACGGUACCUGAGGAGGAAGCUCCGGCUAACUACGUG
rnacentral:rRNA from 1 species